rnacentral:lncRNA from 1 species
GACAUAUUAUUAGUUGAGUAGUGAAGUGUUUUUCUGCUUAUUCUGAGUUUGUCUUUUCCAAUUGUAUCUAUAGGAAAUGAGAAAGGAAAAUUUUGUUAGUGUGAACAAAAUUCAUCUACUAUUCAUCCCUGUGAAGAGACCUAUUGUAUUUUUCACUAAAAUGUUUGGAAGAAAAGCUGUAGCCAUCACAUCAUAUUUUACCUCACAAUUCUAGAAGACAGAAGCCAUUAUUGUGUUAUCAACAUGCCUUCCUAUAGCAUGGUUCAUAAACGAUUCAUCUUUAUGGAACUAUAUUUUUCAAGACUGGUAAGAAAAAUUUAAAAGGAAACAAACAUGACCUCAUCUUCCUCCUUUAAACCUAUAAGCCAUACAGAGGAUGGAAGUGUUCUUAAAUAAUGCUAUUUUAUUCUAGAUUUGAACAGUGCAGGGAAGAUUAGUACCUACAAAGGAGAGGCAUAAGGUUAAAACUCAUUACUCACUACAUAGUCCAAGAUACAAAUAUGAGGACCAACAAUAUUCCAAAUGAAAAUGCCAUUUACAGCUAAACAUGAACAUUUUUUCUGUCAAACAUGAACAUUUUUCAUAGAAUCUAAUAAACACAAUACUGAAGGAAAACA